rnacentral:rRNA from 1 species
AGGACGAACGCUGGCGGCGUGCUUAACACAUGCAAGUGGAGCGACGAACCAGGGCUUGCCCUGGGGCAGAGCCGCGAACGGGUGAGUAACACGUGGGUUACCUGCCUCGAUGACCGGGACAACCCGAGGAAAACUCGGGCUAAUACCGGAUGUGCCCGCAAGGGGAAAGGAAGCUUCGGCCUCCGCAUCGAGAUGGGCCCGCGGCCCAUUAGCUUGUUGGUGAGGUAAAGGCUCACCAAGGCUUCGAUGGGUAGCUGGUCUGAGAGGACGAUCAGCCACACUGGGACUGAGACACGGCCCAGACUCCUACGGGAGGCAGCAGUAGGGAAUCUUGCGCAAUGCGCGAAAGCGUGACGCAGCAACGCCGCGUGGGGGAAGAAGGCCCUCGGGUUGUAAACCCCUUUCAGUUGGGACGAAGCUUCGUCGGUUAAUAGCCGACUGGAGUGACGGUACCUUCACAAGAAGCACCGGCUAACUACGUGCCAGCAGCCGC